rnacentral:lncRNA from 1 species
CAUGAAGCCUACAUAUAGUUCAACUCUACUUGCACAAAGAAUGGUUAAGGUGAAUUUCUCUCAGUACUAACCCAAGACUGCCAAAAUAUACUUUGACGGUCCUUUAAUUGUCAUUUAAAGGGAAUAUAAAAGUUUUUUGCAGUAAUUUUUGAAAAAGUAUAAAAUAACACCUAGCCAAAUAAGUUACUACAUUCGUUUGACAUGAACUAUUGCUAACUGACCCUAGCAAAACACAUGUCUUGGAUCCUCAUGACAUAAAUUGACUAGAUUUUUCUUUAGGUACAACUCCUUUCCUACUUUAGUAUAUUACUAUAUGGUGUAAAUUGUGAUUUAACUCUGGUUACUGGCUUAGUGUCAGGCAGAAACAGAAGACAUGACUGGGGAUAGCCCAGGAUGGGAAUGGUUGCCUAUCCUGCAGAAAGCACAUUUAAUCUCACAAAGAAAAGACCAGAAACAAAUGAGACUAGUCUUCAAGUUAAGAAGGAGAAUCUUCAGGACUUGAGAAACUCUGAGGGUUUGAAGUUCAGGGGUACUUCAACUUAGAUAUUUA